AUCCACGGCCAUAGGAUUUUGAAACUACCGCAUCCCGUCUGAUCUGCGCAGUCAACCAAAAUGCCGCCCAAUUAGUACCACGGUGGGGGACCACGCGGGAAUCCUGG
rnacentral:rRNA from 1 species